rnacentral:rRNA from 1 species
UACGGGGGGAGCAAGCGUUGUUCGGAUUUACUGGGCGUAAAGGGCGCGUAGGCGGUCAGCACAAGUCAGUUGUGAAAUCUCCGGGCUUAACUCGGAAAGGUCAACUGAUACUGUGCGACUAGAGUGCAGAAGGGGCAACUGGAAUUCUCGGUGUAGCGGUGAAAUGCUUAGAUAUCGUCGAGAACACCUGUGCGAAGGCAGCUCUAGGCCUGUAACUGACGCUGAAGGCAACCGGAAGUGUCAGG